AAUACAGGAUCUUUGUAUGCAUGUGUAGAACAAGCAGCAAAUGGGCAUGGUUCAGUGUUCCCCUGUCAACUUGUACGCCACUGAGAAGUGACCCUCCCAGGGAUGCAUUCUUGUGGGAAGCCCCUUCCUGAGACCACGGCAUGCAGUCUGGUGUAUUGUCAUCACUGAUUAGCUGCAGGUGGAUAUUUCUUUAAAAAAGAAAACUCUCAACGGGGCUCAUUUACUGAAUUGUUGAUUGUUUUGAACAUUGCAAUUUCUCUACCAUUUCAUUCCAAAAAAAAGAAAAGUCAGUUUAAACGUACUUUCUGAUUGUCCAAGAACUGUAAAGGAAAUUACGCUUGAACAACAUUCUGUCUUUUUCAACACAAAGUAUGCUGUUGUUGCACUUCUUGUCCUCUCCAGGCAAGGGUUUGUCUUCAGUGUCUGGGGAAUUUUCUGUGAAGAAUGUUUUUGGACUGAGUGAGCACAGUCUUUGCUUCUGAAGUCCCAGGAUGCCUGUCAUUUCCUGCUAACAUAAGCCUCUGUACCUCUCUAAAGAUUAAAAUGAUAUUCAUGCAAUAUGAGAAACUCUAAAGAAAUAAAAAAGCAUCCUAACAAUGUUUAUUGAUAAUUAGUAAAAAAAAAUAUAUUUUCUGGAGUUGUAUACUUUAUUUUUAUCAGAAUGAGGAUUUUUCCCUAGAAAUAAUUUUCUCUAUUACAAGAAAAUCAGCAACUACAGCAGCAGUAGCAGUAAGAAGUCUUGAGAGUAAACAGUGGAGGAUAUUCCAUAAAAUAUAUUCUUGGUUGAAGAGUUCCCUUUCACUUGAUAUCUUCAAAAACAGUACCUAAAUGAGUAAUUUUAAGUAUUCUUUUUUUUUUUUUUUUUUUUUUCUGUUUGUCUCACAUUUCCGUGCUAAAUUUUGUUGUACAAUUACUAAACUCAAAGUGAUGUUUGACUGGCUGUAUGUCCACACAAAAAAGUUUCCACUGUCUGACAUACUUGAUUAAAAAUGGUCCAAAUGUAGAGUUACAUAAUCCAGAAGGUUACUGGAGUUUUGGUUAACUUGGUAAAUCAAGAACAUGGCAGUAGUAACUCCUGUCUAGCCUGAUGAAAAGUUGCAAUUUUUGAAGUAAACUCUGGCUAUUGUGUACACUACUCUUAAAUUAAUUGCCCAGCACUUACAUCUUGUAGUUAGCAAAACCUUGUGAAAAUCUUUGUCUGAGAGACCCAGUAAAGUGAGACAGUAAUAGAUUAAACAAUUAAAUGAAACUUGUGAAAUUUACUACAGUUAAGUGAACAGGAAAGAAUGAUGAGGAGAAGCCAGAAGCAGAACUGUAUAGUUUUGGCUUUGCCAAAAUUUGUCAUUCCUAAAACAUUUCUCAGUGUAGUUUUAUCAGCACUGGAGUUGUUUUGAGGAAAUGUUCAGAUUAAAACAAACAAACAAACAAACAAAAAAAAAAAAAAAUGGAAGAAUACACAGAAA